AUUGAACGCUGGCGGCAGGCCUAACACAUGCAAGUCGAAUGGUAACAGGAAACAGCUUGCUGUUUCGCUGACGAGUGGCGGACGGGUGAGUAAUGUCUGGGGAACUGCCUGAUGGAGGGGGAUAACUACUGGAAACGGUAGCUAAUACCGCAUAACGUCGCAAGACCAAAGAGGGGGACCUUCGGGCCUCUUGCCAUCAGAUGUGCCCAGAUGGGAUUAGCUAGUAGGUGGGGUAACGGCUCACCUAGGCGACGAUCCCUAGCUGGUCUGAGAGGAUGACCAGCCACACUGGAACUGAGACACGGUCCAGACUCCUACGGGAGGCAGCAGUGGGGAAUAUUGCACAAUGGGCGCAAGCCUGAUGCAGCCAUGCCGCGUGUAUGAAGAAGGCCUUCGGGUUGUAAAGUACUUUCAGCGGGGAGGAAGGGAGUAAAGUUAAUACCUUUGCUCAUUGACGUUACCCGCAGAAGAAGCACCGGCUAACUCCGUG
rnacentral:rRNA from 1 species